rnacentral:rRNA from 1 species
AGCGAACGCUGGCGGCAGGCUUAACACAUGCAAGUCGAACGGGCGUAGCAAUACGUCAGUGGCAGACGGGUGAGUAACGCGUGGGAACGUACCUUUUGGUUCGGAACAACACAGGGAAACUUGUGCUAAUACCGGAUAAGCCCUUACGGGGAAAGAUUUAUCGCCGAAAAGAUCGGCCCGCGUCUGAUUAGCUAGUUGGUGAGGUAAUGGCUCACCAAGGCGACGAUCAGUAGCUGGUCUGAGAGGAUGAUCAGCCACACUGGGACUGAGACACGGCCCAGACUCCUACGGGAGGCAGCAGUGGGGAAUAUUGGACAAUGGGGGCAACCCUGAUCCAGCCAUGCCGCGUGAGUGAUGAAGGCCCUAGGGUUGUAAAGCUCUUUUGUGCGGGAAGAUAAUGACGGUACCGCAAGAAUAAGCCCCGGCUAACUUCGUG